CGGGCAGUAGCUCAGUGGUAGAGCUCCCGCUUCGUAUCCGGAAAGAUCUGCGCUCGAUUCUCGGCUGCUUAC
rnacentral:tRNA from 1 species